CAGGAAGGGCUUAGCUGCCCUUACAAACACUAUUCAUUUCCUCAUUCAUUCAUAAGUCACUUAAAAGCAACUAUUCUGUGUCAGUCACUGUGCCUGAUAUGGUAGGAGCCCACUUGGUUAUUAAGGAAAAUGACUUGUGCUCAGAGGAGGCACCUGUAGCCCCUCUGAGUCUGAAAUGACCUCAACCAUCCCCGCCCUCCUUCAAACCCUCAGGGAGUAGCCCUUAGAGGAAGUGAGUGGGGCAGUGCAGACUUAGGAGAGGAUUAAUUAUGCCCCCCUCAUAGUUAGGGUUUUCAGGUUUAUCACUCACCACCUUCUACAUGAUAAACCUGUGGUUUUUAAUCUCUGCAGCAUCGAGCGCGGUUCUUUUCAUUUUCAGAGACUGAGGGCGCCCUCUCCGUGCAGGGCUGCAGACAUGAAAAGGAAAGCCUGCACAUCAGAGAACUUCCUAAACCUAAAGUCUCAUCAGGCUUUUCCCAGCCAGAAAUUUUUAGACAUUUUAACAGGAAACGUGUGUCACAGAUGGAACAUGAAUUUCAUCUAAGUUAAGCAGAGUAAAUGAGAGAAGGAAAAAAAAAGCCUCAAAGAUCAAAAAGCUGUGUAAGAGAUACUCCAAGGACCCAGAUUAUAUAAAUGUGUGUAAGCUAUGAGUGUUUCCAUACAGUGCCAUUAAGAAACCUGCAAUUAAGGUGUUGGAGGUUUUUCUUAAACACACACAGGCACACAUACACCCGCAGGGAAAUCAAUGCCCUCUCAUAAAAAAACAGCAGUAGGUGUGCGGAGUGGUUUCUGUGCCCCAGGGAAACACAGCGCUUCUAAUGGGCACACAGCCCCCCUCAAGUCGCGUCACUCUACCCUGUGGAAAGAUAUAAUUUGCUGUACCGCUGAGAACUCGAAGACAGCAACACCUCCCUAGGAGCCUUCCACUUCUACAAACCCCAAACAAAGAUGUAUGAGACUCCCUGCCACUGAGCGGGGUGGUGGUGGGGAGUUUGUCUUCUCCAGAUCCAGUUAGGGCAUUUAUGAGACAGUCCUGUCAUCUCCUAGCAGGUACACGCAUGUGUAUCACACCUGCAGUUCUCUGGAGUCACUCCAUCGUGCCUCUGCUUAGUCUGAUCCGCAAAGGGCACAGAGGGAACCCUUGUAUUUUAGCAUGGCCAAUGCCAUGGCCAGUGCUCUUUCCACAGGCCUGACUCACAGUCAAAGUGUUUUUCAAUAACUGAGACCCACUCUCAUCUGAAAAAGCAGUCUGGACUGUGCUAAACUUUAGCAAAAGAGACUCAACCAAAAAAAGGGUGAUAUGGAUGGGACCAGAAUGUCAUAGCCUUUCUUUAGGAAACGGUUCUCAAAGUGUGGUCCCUAGGCCAGCAGCAUGGGCAUCACCUGGAACGUGCCAGAAAUGAAGAUUCUCAGACUUCCUGAAUGGGGCCCAGAAAUCUGUAUGUCCAGCAAUCUCCAGUACAUCUAAGUUUAAGCACCACUGCCUCAGAGGGAUGAGUCAGGAUCCCAUUCUGUGGCUAUUUAUAGAACCCUGCACAUGGUAGAGGAGGAUCUAUUAGAGUAGUUCUGUUUCUAUACUUUGGGAUACGAAUUUCUGGCUUCUUGUCUUCCUCAACUUGUCUCAGGAGCCACAGUGAAAAUCUGGCGAUACCUCCCCCGACUUGCUAAGCUGAUGGCUGCUAUGGUGUUAGUGGGCCUGCCUCAGCUAAUCUUAUUCUUUCUCAAGAUGCCUUAUACUUGAGUGGAGUUUAUCAUGUUUCAUACCGGAGUAAUGCUUUCCUACUGGUGAGGGGCAAGCAGGCUGUGUUGUGUGGGUGUUGAUAUUAGGUAACUGAGUUUGGGCUGUGAAAGUACACAAAGGCCCACGUUGAGGAAAAGUUUGUUCCGCAGCUAGCCGCCACAGCCGGGCAUCACAGACUCGUACUAGAUUCGGGGCAGAGUCAGGCAGAGGAUGGAGAUAUUAUGGCAUCAUUCUUUCCUGUCAUUCAAACUUCACUGAGAAAAGGUGAGCUUCCUUCAGAAUUAAAAAGGAGGAGGACCCAUGUCCUCCACUAAAUAGAAUAGCCUCUCCAUUCAAGGAUCUCUUAUUUAGCUAAUGGCUGGCAUGGCACUUCUGGACCAAUGCAAAAACCUAAAUAACUGCAUAUGUUAUUUAGCUUUUAUUUUACUGUAUUAUCAGCAACAGAAAGCAGCAGUGUCAGACUACACAAGAACCGCAAAUCAACCGUCUCAUUGUUCUCCUUGACCUGCUUCUCUGCUCCACAGGUAUAAAAAGACCCAGGAUGCUGACCUGUAAUUUCUUUCAUCUUAACCAUCCAGUAUCAUAGCUCCAAGAGAAGAUUUUUUCUUCUCCUAAUGUUUAGUGAGAUUUCUACAAUCGUGUUUCUUAUGUGUUGGUGUCAGAAAAUGAAUAAAAAUGCUUUUCUGAGAUGUUAGAGAUGCCAUAUAAUUUAAUACAUAAUUGUCAUCGUGUUUUGCCCUGGGUUAUUUUUCCAAGAGAAGAUUCCAGAAUUUCUUGCAGUGAGUCAUCAUGAACAUAUAGAGAUGUAUCUGUUGAGCAGCUCUGCAAAGGUGACAAAGUGGGAGAGGAUUCCAGACCGAUCCUCUCAGAAAGGUGAUGCUGAGUUCCCAGGGCCAUGUUCCAGCCCUGGUUCUCAACCUCAUCAAAGACAUCAUCAUCCCACUCUCCCUAAAAGAGGCCUGGAAGGCAAAACAGUAUUUAAAACUCUGGUCCAGGAGUUCCUGUCAUGGCUCAGUGGAAACAAAUCUGACUGGCAUCCAUGAGGACGCAGGUUUCAUCCCUGACCUUGCUCAGUGGGUUAAAGAUCCGGUGUUGCCAUGAACUGUGGCGUAGGUUGCAGACAUGGCUCAGAUCUGGUGUUGCUGUGGCUGUGGCGUAGGCCGGCAGGUGUAGCUCCCAUUUGACCCCUGGCCUGGGAAUCUCCACAUGCCGAGGGUGAGGCCCUAAAAUAAAUAAAUAAACAAAUAAAGAGAUAAAUAAAUAAAAAUGGUCCAGCUCUCCCAGCAACAUUAUGUUUCUGUAAAUGCUGCUACCAUAAUGCCCAAACCUUAGGCAUCAGUAAAUCCUCUACAUUAGCCUGCAUGUCUAUAGUGGUAGAUCAGAUGUCCAAUAGUUUCCAAACACAUUUCAAUUUCUGCCCCGUUCUCACAGAGUGGGUGUGAGAUAAUAGAAUAUAUGUAUGUUGCUCUCUGACCCCGGUUCCUGCACAGAGUUCCUGAAACCUUUGUAAUUACAUGAGUGAUAAGACUGGGUUUUACUCUAAUGAGGAAACUCUGGGUGGCUCCUGGGCGUAGCCUGGCCACUGGAAAGACCACGCCAGGAUUGGAAGCUUGGAAUCUUCAAUCUCACCCCUCUUUAUUUUUUUGAGAUAUAAGGAGUUUGAAAUUGAUCAUGCCUAUGUGAUAAUGCCUCCAUAAAACUGCAAAAGGAAGGGCCUUCAGAGAGCCUCCAGAAUGGUAAACAAGCAGAGCUUCUGGAACAGUGGUGGGCCUGAGAGGGGCUGGAAGGUCUGUGCCCCUCUCCACGGACCUUGCCUUGGGGAUCUUCUUAUCUGGCUGUUCAACUAUCUUUCAUCACAUUCUUUAAUAAACUAGUAAGCAUAAGUAAGUGCUUCCCUGAGUUCUGCGAGCUGCACCAGCAAAUUAAUCAAGCCCAGGGAGAGGGUGGUGGGAACAUCCUUUGUAGCCAAAGUCGCAGAAGUCCUGACUGAGGACCUACUACUUGCAAUUGGCUCUGGAGUGGGGGUGGGGACAGGUUUGUAGGACUGAGCCCUUAACCUGUGGGAUCUGAUGCUAUCUCCAGGUAAAUAGUGCCAGAAUUGAGGUGAGUUGUAGGACACCCAGCUGGUGCCACAGAGAAUUGCCUGGCGUGGGAGAAAACCUCCACACUUUCAGUGACCAGGCCCUUUUAGUAGAUAAAAUUAUUUGCUUAAUGCAACAGUUGUUCUCACCCCCCGUUUUCCCUCAUCCAUCUUCCAAGAUACAGGCUACAAAUGUGAGCCAAAAAGGUGUUUCUGGAAAAGCUUUUCUUCCCAGUGGCAUAAAAGGUUUCUACUUUUGCCCAUUCCUCCUUUUUGCUCAAAAUGCUGCUGUUGGAACAUUAUGCCCAGAAGGUGGUGGCAGCCAGGUGACCUUGAGGGAACAACAUGAGGAUAAAAGCAUUUCUGCUGAGGAUGGUGAAGUGAAAGGACUGAAAGAACCUGAGUGUCUGGUCGUGUCACCAAGUCACCAGAUCAAACCUGGAACUGCCUGCCUGAAAAUCUCUGAUGUGGAAAAUAAUCAAAGGUCUUCAUUGAUUAAAAUGCCAUCAAAUGGGCUAUCUCUUGUUUGUAGCCUAACUCGUUCCAUAAUUGAAAUAUAUGAGGCUUUUUUAAGUGUUAUUGAGGUAGAGUUGAUCUACAGGUUGUGAUCAUUUCUGCUGUACAACAAAGUGACUCAGCUGUACACACAUCCGUGCUCUUUCACAUUCUUUUCCCGCAUAGAUUAUCACUGGAUAUUGGGUAGAGUUCUCUGUGCUAUACAGCAGGACCCUGUUGCCAAGCAUUCCAUAUAUCUCAGUGUGCAUAUGCCAUCCCAAACCCCCAGUCCAUUCCCCCAUCACAAUCUGUCUCAUUUGAAAACCGUAAGUUUUUCAAAGUCCAUGAGUCUGUAUCUGUUCUUCAAAUAAGUUCAUUCAUAUUAUUUUUUAAGAUUCCACAUAUAAGUGGAAAGAUGUUUUAAUUCUUAGAAUAUAAGAUAUCAAUGCACAAUGGCUAAUCGGUAAGUCCUAUCAAAGUUUCCUUUAGGACAACCUCCUCGUGUGUUCCUUUCUCUACAGUCAUGUUGUCACCUUACUUGACGUGUGGAUCAAAACCUAUUGUUAGAGACUGAAUGUUUGUGUUUCCCACACCCCCAAAUUUAUAUGCCUAAGCCCUAACCCCCAAUAUGAUGGUAUUUGAAGAUGGGGUUUUGGGGGUGUAAUCAGGGUUAGAUGAAAUCACGAGGAUAAUGUUACCUACUGAAGGAUCAGUGCCCUUAUAAAAAGACACCAGGGAACUUGCUUUCUCUCUCUCCAACAUGUAAGGACACAGUGGAAAGGCAGCCUUUUAUAAGCCAGGAAGAGAGCCUUCCCCAGAAACCAACCACACUGGCACCCUGAGCUCCACCCUCCAGAACUUUGAGAAAUAAAUUCUUUUGUUUAAGCCACUCAGUCCAUGAUAGUUUGUUCUGGCAGCCCUAGCAGAGCAAUAGCUAUGUUUUGGCCUAAGAAUCUUUUUAUAAGAAAGUUUAAUAUUAAUUUUUAGUUUGGAGACAUUACAGAUAACAAAUUAAGAAAAAUAAAGUAUUUUUUAUCAAUUUGUAUAAAUCAGGAGCUUUAAUUCUUAACUUCCCCAUGAGUAAUCAUAAUAAUUUUGUUAUCGUCAUUGUUAUUAUUAUUAUAGAUGAGGAAACCAAAGUCUAGAAAUACUAAGUAAUAUGCCCAAGGUAACUUUAAUAAAGAUCAGAGUCAGGAUAAGCCCCACGAUCUGCCUAAUGGCAAUAACUAUGCUCUUUCCUCCUCAAACAAAUCCUCUUUUUCCUACAUUCUAAGAGGACUUGGCUUGUUCCAUUCAUGAAACUAUAUACUGACUUUCAAUGCAUGCCUUUGUAAGAAAACUGAAUACAUAAUCAUUGACAACAUAAUGAAUACAGGUCAAAAUAUUAUUUUUUACAUACCUUUCACCUUUUCACAAGUUGAGUCCUUGAGGCCAGGAACUAUGGACCUGAGAAAUUAUGUCUCUACACUCUGAAUACCCAGUGCUUAAUGAGGGACUUAAUUCCUGUUAUGAAAAGUAUAUGUUUAUAAUCAUUAUUCUGUCAGGCUUUUUAUAACAAAAACUAUG
rnacentral:lncRNA from 1 species